rnacentral:lncRNA from 1 species
GGAGGAAGAUUCAAAUAAUGAUCUAUGAAGAGACAGAAAUUCGAGUUACGGGGCUGUCACUUGAAGACUCUGCUGCUUGGCUUCUUAGCACGGUGUCGGUUAUUUAGCGGAAAGAACCAGUCUCUGGAUUAUUUCCAGGCCAUCCAGACAGCUAUUUCAACUGGAACAAGUGACCUUUGGAACAGACUAGAACUUAGCAGCCUGGCCAGACAGAGAGGAGGGAGUAGUCAACUGGGAAGGGCCCCAACAUGUUCUUGUGAAAUGCCAUUUGAAGUAAGAGGACAAUAAAAAUUAAGGACAAGUAAAUGAGCUUAAAAAUAUCUAAAACCAAUGAAAACUGUGUGACCACAAUAUGGGAUUCAAGGAAAGAUACAGUAGGAGUCUUUAGCUAUCAUUCUUUAAUACACAUGCUCAACCAAUAUGGUUCUCUACUCCCUUCAGUACAAGGAAUGUCUCUUAAUUAUGUAAUAUUCACCUUUGAAUCUCCAUAGUCUUGGAAAACUCAGUAAUCAUCUGUUUUCCCUCCCUCAUUGGCACCAAAUUUCCUCAGUCUAUGAUUCUACAGUGGUCGUUAGACGCUCUUAGAGAAUGGUCAAGACCUUUAUUUAGCAAGUUAUUGCUGCAGGGAGAUAAAAGUUAAAAUAAUAGUAAAGAGUUCAUGUGAGAGAACAAAGUGAUUAUCUUCUAACAUUGGGUUGGAAGGCAUGCUCUCCUUUUCUUUCACAGAGAGCACAGGAAGUUUUAGCUCAGGUCAUUAGCAAGAAGUAUGCUAAAGAAGCACGCAGCCUUUACUGAAUGCUCAUGGACAGAAUGUUGCGCUUGGCUCCCCAGGAUAUAAAAAUGUCAAAGUAAUCCUUUCUUCAAAGUUUUUGGAGAAUAAAUAGAAAAAUAAAAAAAAAACUUUAUUAAAAAAUUAAUUUUUUUCCAAGACAGCAUUUUAUUUAUUUUUGCAAAAUAUAUCAAUGAUAAUACAGUACAAGUUACCAAGAAAAUACUAUGGGAUAUCAGAAUGUCCUCUCAUAACUUAACGAGGCCCAUUGUGUACUGGAGAAUCUUUUUAAGAAGGUAAUUCCUACAGCUUCUAGCCAGGUUUUCUUUAAAAGCCUUAAUGCAUAUUCCAAACUGCCCAUAGAUAGACUCACAUGCAAACCAGAAAAGUUUGACUUGAUAAAUUUUGAGUAUGCAUCUGAAUUAAUGCCAAAAACGUGGCUAAGGGAAAUACAUUUUUUCCAAAUUUUUAGUUCUAUAGUUAUGGUAGUACUAUGAAGUGGCACAAAACCCAAUGUUAGUGAUAGAGAAGUUCCAUUAUUUCAAUUUACCAUGUAAGAUCAGAAAAAUUUGAGACUUUAAACUCAACUCCCUAAGCAUUCCAUAUUUUGCAUAUUACUUAACUAUGAUUUAGGAAAUGCUGUAUCUUAGAAUUCAUGAACCUAAGUGGUAGGAAAUGAAUCCAGAGAAAAUAAGUUUUAUAGGAGGUGUUUCUAGAAGUGGGUUGUGUUUGGUUCUUCACAACAGAAGAUCAAGACGUGGAACAAGUCUAUAAGAAUUAAGGUUUUGUUCCAUUUAUAAGAUGGACGUUGAAAGAGGACAUUCUUGAGAAAUGUGCCUGAACUUAUCUAGGAAGGAGAGGACACAAGUUAGGCCUUUUCUGCGGAGACAUGGGGAUCCGAGGGCAACACCAGCCACACCCAUCUCCGCAGUGGGCUAGCCACCUAUAACGGGUGUAGUUUAGGUGGAGUCUGAGAUUUAGCUGUCAAAAUUGAGUCCAAGAGUCUCCAGCUAAUUUAACAGAGGUUGAAAUCCAAAAUCAUGAGUAAAUAUUGAAUUUGGAACUACAUAUGGAAACACUGGAACUGAAAAAUAUUAGCAGCUAGUUUUUUUUCAUAGUUAUGUUAACUAACAUAAAAAAAAGUAAAAAAGAAAAAAAAAGAAUCAGAAAGGCAACAAUGCAACAUCUAUCAGAAAUUUUAUCUGAAAAUAAGUCUUCAUAAUGUGACCAAACUUUUUUGAGAAAGUUCAAAUCCAAAAAAAGAGAAAUACGAAGAGAAAACUAUUGCUAUUGGACUCUCUUGAUAGUCUCACAGUGGAUAUCUAACACUAGACACUAGCCAGUGCUAGAUACGCACAUUUAAACAGAAUUAAAUAGAAGUGUCUUCUGGGAGGCUUUUGGUUCAGCCGGUACUUUCGUACAUGUUGGUUUUUACUUAGUAAUUCAUAUAUCACCUUACCUUUCCUUUAUGUCAAUAAACUAACUGAGGGCAGGAAUCCGGUCAUCUUCAAUUUAACAACGUUAAGCAAGCAAAAUUAAAUCCAGUAAGCAAAUUUACUAGAUGUUUUCUUACCCACAUAACAUAGGUUAUCACACAAAGUGAGUAAUAAAUGAGUUUUAUUGAAUGGGUUGAUGGAUUGUUCAUUGGUGUGCAAACACUGGGCAUGGGAGUCCUGUGAAUCUUUAAAACACUUAAUACUUUGUUUUCAGAAGGUUCAAAACUUCAUGAUAUUCCAAUAAGCCACAACUCAAAUCUUAUUAUCAAGUCUACCUUUUAAAGACUCGAAACCCUUUAUACUAUUACUAGGCUAAAAAGGCUCUCAAUUUUUAAAGGAGAUAUUUACAUAAUACAGUUAUUGCACCAGAUGCUUCUAGUGAAAGGGACCCAGUUACGACCUCUCUCACCACCAGGAUCGAGGCCACUGUUUUCACAACUGAAUGAUAUUUGCUUACAAAGCUAAAAUGUGUGUGGGCUGUAAGAAAUGAAGUUAAAGUUCAUUAAUUCUUUUCCUUUCUCUUCCUCUCUUCCUUCUACUCUUAGGCCUCAUUUUAUGACCUGGAAACGCUGUCAUAUAAUCACCUUCAGAAUGUUUCUAACUUAACCAGGGAUUAUUUAAUGAGUAAAUAUACAAUUAUUUAUUUAAAAUCAUUUAUUCUCAGCAAAAUCAAACAUAUUGAGUAUACAUAGAAAUACAAUUUUCAACUGGGAUCUUCAUAAAAAUGCACUGGUGAAAUAAAUGUUCAUAAUUAAUGACCAAUUAUGUACUAUUUAGUCAUGCCAGUAGCAGAAUUGAUUACCAUUAAAAAUUGGUAAAGUAACAUAUCUUAAGUGUGCAAAUACCAUCUUAGUACUCUAUUGUGUUACCAUUGAUAAUAAAUGGCCACUAAAUAUAUACCUAUUACAUAAAGCUUUUAAAGUACAAUAAAAAUACAAAUUCUAUCUGUUAAAAAAAGCCAUUCAUAUGGCCCCUAAACAUUCUCAUUAUACAAAUUCCAAAAUACUAUAUGACAAACAAAAUUAUAAAGGUUCUUCUUUAUGAAACAUAUACUAACUUCUAAUUAAGGUACAACUUAGCAGAUAACAGAAAACAAGAAGGCUUAUAUAUACCAUAGAACAUUACGAAGAUACAUACAAAUAUAAGAUUGCAUAAGCGUAUUUGAUUUCUUUUCCUAGUGAAUAUAUGUACCUUUAGCACUUGACGAAAAUUUCCAUGAGUAAAAGAAAAAUCUAUUUUUGAGAUCUACCUCUAAUCUAAGCUCACAUUUUCAUUAAUUUAAUCUAUUUUUAUUAUGAUGCAAUGUACCAAAUUAUAAAUUUUAACCAUAAAUUCUUGCACUGAGUACAAAUUAAAGUCUUUUACAUAAUGGGCAAAGGUGUAGGAAAUAAACACUUUUAAAGGUCGGAGUUCAUCAGCACAUUAUCAAUUAAGUAAAAGAAAAUUCUAUCGUUCAUGUUAGCUUAAACUGAGAAGUCGUUUGAUUUUUGUAAAAAAAAAAUGAGAUUUGACUUCAACAAAAACAAAUACAAAUUAAAAUUGCUAAAUGAUACUGAUGAUUCAUAAGGAAUAAUUGUUAUAGAUUUUAAAGUAUCAAAACUAAUGGGGCAUCACAAAAUAAAUUGGGUGAGAAAAUAUUAUCAAAGGAGAAAAUAUGAGAAUAAUAUUAUUCAGUUAGAAAAGAUAUAUUUGGUAAAGUAAAUGUGGAUAAUAGAUAGACAUUGCAACCAUAGCAUAUAUUCCAAAUGUUUUUUUAGAAAACAUCAGAUCAGAUUAUGUUUAGAUGUUUAGCAUAACUUAUCUCAUUAGAAAUUAAAUUUUAAGUGUUUUGUAAUGAGCAAAUUUUAAUUUUUUCCAUCAUCUUCACUUGUGAAAUAAAUAAAAGAUUUAGAGUAUAAGUGAUAAUAAUAGCUAACAUUAAUACUUUGCUUUUACUAAUAAACUCUAAUUAUUUGGUUUAAUUAUUAUUGGAAAUUAUAUUUUUGCUACUUUACUUGCUAAAAAUGACCUGGUGGGAUUAUAUUCAGAGUUUACAUUUUGCCAAUGAUAUGAACAACAUUUAAUACAUAAAAUAACAUCUGUCUAAUGGAUGGUAACAUGCUUAUUGGUUUGAAUAUGGAAUAUAUUUAGUUUGGCAUUGGUAUAUCUCCUCAAGACUUUGAAAGGUGUCAUCAAGGUAUGGCUUUUGGGAAUCAAAAAUGAACUAGCAGCCUGGAAAAUGAACACGUUUCAAGAAGGAUACUAAUUAUUCAGAACUCUGACACAAGACAGAUAUUUGGAUAAUUUGUUUUCUGAUUAUAAAUUCAUCUACAGGAGAAACAGAAAAGAACAUAAAAGUAUGAUUUACUUUACAGUCAGUUGUUUUUAAAAUAAACAUUAUAGAUCAAUAGCGAAGGACGUUUUAGUAAAAUAACUUGCAAAAAGUUACGGUCUUCAAAAAUAUAUUGGCACACGUAUACCACCUGUCAGAAAGUAAUAAGGAAUGACGUAUACGCAUAUCAAACAAACUGAACACAAAUC